AUAAGGGAACUGAGGGAGGCCCAGGGAAAUGAAACAAUUUGCCCAAGAUCACACUGGUAGUAAAUCCUAAUUGGAACUCAUCUUGAAGUGGCCCUUGAGAUCAGCCCCUUCAUGAGACAGAUGAGGAAACUGAGACCAAGACAGACUAAGAGCUUGUCCACAGCCACACAGAGUAGUUACCAGAAGAGUCUGGAACCAUGUGUGUUUCUCAAAGAAAAAAAGGAGUAUCAAGGAUCUGUCUUUUCCAAAGCCCUUGGGCCAACUCUUCCCUCCCUCAGCUAAUUGGGGAAAAUACAAUUAAAAAAAGAAAAAGAAGAGAAAUGCUACUCACAUUUUGCUACCUGCUGAAAUUCUACACAAAAUCUAACUCAAAUACCACCUCUUCCAUGAAAACUCUGGCUUCCACACUGAGAAAUGUACUACUUGGAGCCUGUUUUUUGCUUUUCAUGCACUUAAAUUCUAUUCGGCAUUUUGGUUAUUUCUGUAUAGCUGUUUAUCUCCUUUCCCAGACUGUAAGGUCCUCAAGGGCAGGGUAGGUUCUAGCUUCUUUUAUUGCAUCUUCCCCUCCCAUCUCACCCCCAAACCUCCAAUUCAAUAAAUAUUUUUUGGAUUGAAUUGUCCUGUGAUAU
rnacentral:lncRNA from 1 species